UCUACUUGGCCGAGCAUGAGCGACCGCCCAAAGGAUGAGAGUAGUGACGUCAAAAUUCUGACGCGCGCCUUCUAAAAAUAUCCAGGACACCGUCGCUCCGAUUGUAUUGUUAUACCGGAACGAGUAACGCCAUCUAUUGUCAAAUUGCGAAAAUGGAAAUAGUUUUUAUGCAGAUUCGCGGUGUUUUUUUCUGUGGAUACGAGUCGCAACUAUUCGUCAAACGUCGGCUCACUUCGGGUGGUGUUCUUCGGCAGAGUCGAGGAGAGAUGGGCGAGAAAAGGCUCAGCCAGGAGGGAAUGGGAUUUGAUAACGGAUGCCCGAGUGCCUCCAAGUAAGACCUAACAAAUCAAGAGUGAAUCUACAAAAUCUAUGAAGUAUCCGAAAAUAAUAUUAUAGAAAAAAUGCAAGAGAUAUAUCUACGGUUCGCGAUUAAUAAAAAAAAUACAAAACGGACAA